rnacentral:lncRNA from 1 species
UUGAAUCCAAAUUCACAGAUAUUAGUAUGACACAAGUAAGUUCUCUUGCUGCUUUUCAUCUUUUUCGGAGCAACAACAAACUGACUUUCUCAUUUUUUAAAGUUUGUUUAACAAGACAUACUCUCUCAUUUCAAUAGGACAAGAUAAUUCUUCAAAUACAAGCUCAGAAAUUCUACGCGAAUAUCAUUCGGAACUCAGCACCUACUCUAAAGACCUAUGUAGAUGACAUGCAUACUUCAUUGCUCAAGACGUGGACAUCUUCCAGCAGCCCAAACCUGCAAUUUAAAUCAUCAGUUUCGGAUAAAACAUUCAAAGUUCCUAACACUAAACAAUUGUUGGCUAUAGAAUCACCUCCAAACUUCCCAAUGCUAACUGUUCCAACAAUCGUUGAUGAAGAUAAAGAAGUCAACAUCAAUGAAAUUCUUCAGCAAUUGGGCAAUCAUUUCAAUCAGUCUUUGAACAUAACCAACUCUAAUUUCUCUCUAUCUUUUAAUGGUAAUCUACCAUCUUUCGAAGAGCUUGCUUGUCCGGAAUUAUUUGUGAAGACAUCAAGUCGAAAAACAAUACCUCCCACGAUGUUUCAGAAUUGUUGCAUCGUAAGUUUUGCUUUCAUAGCUCUUCUAAGCAUGUUUUUUCUCUGCACUCAAAUAGAACAUGAAUUGAGUAAUGACACAUUUUUUCUACAGGAUUCUUGUCUGAAUCAAAACCCGCAAAACAAAGAGUAGAAG